rnacentral:misc_RNA from 1 species
AAAAAAAAAAAAAAAAGAAAAAAACAAAAGAAAGCCAAUCACCGAAUUUCCCAAAAGAAGAAAACAAGAAAUUUUGAAUGAAAAUCUAAAGAAGCAAUGCCAAACGACAACAGAUCUGAAGAGAAGGUUUGUAGUGUAGUCUUGCUGCCAUGUUUAUCUUCAAAUUUUGCAUAGGCAUGCAUUCAUAUAUAGUUAAUGUUAGAGUGUAAGAAAGAAUUUGGAAAUUGAAGAGAGAGAGGGAGGCUUGAACCAGAUUAAUAGAGGAAUCUAGCAAGUCCAGAGUCACCAUUUGCGUACGCUUCUCUGUACGUGUGUGUGUGUGUGCUGGUUGAGAGAGAGAGGAGGAGAAGUGGAGAGUCAAUAAACACAGUGUGACUUCCACGGGCAAUUUGGUAUUUUG